UACGUAGGGUGCAAGCGUUAAUCGGAAUUACUGGGCGUAAAGCGUACGCAGGCGGCUUUGCAAGACAGGUGUGAAAUCCCCGGGCCUAACCUGGGAACUGCAUUUGUGACUGCAUGGCUAGAGUUUGUCAGAGGGGGGUGGAAUUCCACGUGUAGCAGUGAAAUGCGUAGAUAUGUGGAGGAACACCGAUGGCGAAGGCAGCCCCCUGGGAUAACACUGACGCUCAUGCACGAAAGCGUGGGGAGCAAACAGG
rnacentral:rRNA from 1 species